rnacentral:rRNA from 1 species
AGGCAAUAACAGGUUUGUGAUGCCCUUAGAUGUUUUGGGCCGCACGCGCGCUACCAUGAUCAAGUCAACGAGUUUACAACCUUGGCCGGAAGGUCUGGGUAAUCUUGUGAAACUUGAUCGUGCUGGGGAUAGUCCAUUGCAAUUAUUGGUCUUCAACGAGGAAUUCCUAGUAAGCGUGAGUCAUCAGCUCGCGUUGAUUACGUCCCUGCCCUUUGUACACACCGCCCGUCGCUACUACCGAUUGAAUGGCUUAGUGAGGCUUGAAUGGCUUAGUGAGGC